AGUGAGCGCCGAGUCCCGCGGAGGGGCGGGACUGCUCCGGCGAAAAAAGCUUCUCGCGGCCGCCAUCUCCGCGUCCUGGUCCAGAUAGUCUCGAAGUGCGAUCACCGUUCAGGCCGGCUAUAAUCCAGUUUGGCACUCAAGCUUCAGUCAAAAGCCCUCACCGUCACCCUGUCCCAACUCUUGGACUCUGAUUGAGCUUUUCACAUCAAUUAUCAUGACAGAGGUUAUUUUUUGGACUCAGCACAAUUCUGAAAGGGGUAAAGAAUGAAAAAGUAGCAUCUGAAUUCCUUCGGCAUUACCAUAAUAUGAAGACAUAAUUCCUCCAAAGGCACACGCAAGAUUUCAGGGACAGAAUAGUCCAUAAAGCCUUCAAAUCUGAAGAAUAAAAUAGUGUUAAACACGUGACCUCUCAUCAGAAGCGCCACACUACAAGGACAGACGUGCUUCCGACUUCCAGUGCUGUGUCAUACCUUUCUCUGGUGUACAUCCUGAAGCAGAAGCCGUCUCGGACCCUCCCCGCUCUCCCCUGGCGCUGCAGAGCACUUGCUUUACUGACAGACGUCUCAACCAAAGAACUCAUCUGACUGCUUUCAUGGUACCUGAAGAAAAGUUUUAGGAGAGAAUAUUUAGAGAAAGGACUUAAAUCAAAAUCUGAAAAAAAGCUGGAAAUAGGUGACUCUUAAAAUUACAUUGAAGACAGGCUAAAAAAAGUCCAUCAUAAUUGUGGGCCAUUUUCCAAGUCAUGUUUCAUGUUUAAAUAAUUCAGCAAACUUUGCAAACUAAAUCUCAUACUACCCAGUUAAAAGCUUCAGAUACCUCUCCAAGGGAAAAACCUAUUUAACUUAACCUUUCCCAAAUUAAUGGGACCAUGGAAGAUGUUUUAUUUUAAAGGAAGGCCUAUGAAUUAUGCAAUAAGACUUCUUUGAAAGAGUUUGAGAAAUGCUUCUCAGUAGUCAUAUGCAUUGCCAAAUAUUGCUGAAGUUUCCUAAUAGAGGGAGAGUGUACAUGGAUUACAAUAGACUAGCAAGGUCAUCUUCCCUGUUUUUGCAAUAUAAGCAUUAAAACAUUUAUAAAGUAGUAAUCUUUUUAUGAAGAUUCAGGUAAGGUUACCUAGUAAGUGCCAAUUACCAUAUCAUGUACUUUCAAUUAUGAAAAAUAUUUAUGCUCCCCAUUUACAUAUGAGGGGACUGAUGAUUAUACUUACUGUAUUAUUACUUGCUCAAGAUUACAGAUGAGAGAUUUAAAUCCAACUCUGAUUCCAAAAUCCAUACGCUCUGUUAUAAUCUCAUAAGUAAUGUUUUUGUAAAGAUAUUUUACAAACAAAUUUACAAAAAAUUACAUUCUGAAAAUUUUCUCAGAGUUUUCUACAAGUAGCAGUAUGGGAAAACUCAAGACAUGAAACUUGACAUUUACUCUUGGACAUGUUAAAGUUUCUCUGAGGCUUUUUGCUUCGGGUAGAAUUAGGACAUCUGGGAUUUUCCCUAUAUGAUUCUGUGAUUUCUCCCAAGAAUGUAAGAGCACCAAACCCUUUUCAAACUUACUUAUUUUCUUUUGUCCUUCCAGUGUCAAUUACAAAUACAACAUCUGGAAUAGUGAUACCUGUCUCUGCAAUAUUUGUUGCUAAAACAAUCUGAAAAUAAAAGCCAAAAGAUUUAGAUAACAACUUUCAGCAGUGUGCAAUCAUUUAACCUAUACUG